AUUGAACGCUGGCGGCAUGCCUUACACAUGCAAGUCGAACGGCAGCACGGGGGCAACCCUGGUGGCGAGUGGCGAACGGGUGAGUAAUAUAUCGGAACGUACCCUAGAGUGGGGGAUAACGUAGCGAAAGUUACGCUAAUACCGCAUACGAUCUACGGAUGAAAGCGGGGGAUUCGCAAGAACCUCGCGCUCAUGGAGCGGCCGAUAUCUGAUUAGCUAGUUGGUAGGGUAAAAGCCUACCAAGGCAUCGAUCAGUAGCUGGUCUGAGAGGACGACCAGCCACACUGGAACUGAGACACGGUCCAGACUCCUACGGGAGGCAGCAGUGGGGAAUUUUGGACAAUGGGCGCAAGCCUGAUCCAGCAAUGCCGCGUGAGUGAAGAAGGCCUUCGGGUUGUAAAGCUCUUUUGUCAGGGAAGAAACGGUUGUUCAUAAUACGGAUGACUAAUGACGGUACCUGAAGAAUAAGCACCGGCUAACUACGUGCCAGCAGCCGCGGUAAUACGUAGGGUGCAAGCGUUAAUCGGAAUUACUGGGCGUAAAGCGUGCGCAGGCGGUUAUGUAAGACAGAUGUGAAAUGCCCGGGCUUAACCUGGGAACUGCAUUUGUGACUGCAUGGCUAGAGUGUGUCAGAGGGGGGUAGAAUUCCACGUGUAGCAGUGAAAUGCGUAGAUAUGUGGAGGAAUACCGAUGGCGAAGGCAGCCCCCUGGGAUAACACUGACGCUCAUGCACGAAAGCGUGGGGAGCAAACAGGAUUAGAUACCCUGGUAGUCCACGCCCUAAACGAUGUCUACUAGUUGUCGGGUCUUAAUUGACUUGGUAACGCAGCUAACGCGUGAAGUAGACCGCCUGGGGAGUACGGUCGCAAGAUUAAAACUCAAAGGAAUUGACGGGGACCCGCACAAGCGGUGGAUGAUGUGGAUUAAUUCGAUGCAACGCGAAAAACCUUACCUACCCUUGACAUGGAAGGAAUCCCGAAGAGAUUUGGGAGUGCUCGAAAGAGAACCUUUACACAGGUGCUGCAUGGCUGUCGUCAGCUCGUGUCGUGAGAUGUUGGGUUAAGUCCCGCAACGAGCGCAACCCUUGUCAUUAGUUGCUACGAAAGAGCACUCUAAUGAGACUGCCGGUGACAAACCGGAGGAAGGUGGGGAUGACGUCAAGUCCUCAUGGCCCUUAUGGGUAGGGCUUCACACGUCAUACAAUGGUACAUACAGAGGGCCGCCAACCCGCGAGGGGGAGCUAAUCCCAGAAAGUGUAUCGUAGUCCGGAUUGUAGUCUGCAACUCGACUACAUGAAGUUGGAAUCGCUAGUAAUCGCGGAUCAGCAUGUCGCGGUGAAUACGUUCCCGGGUCU
rnacentral:rRNA from 1 species